rnacentral:rRNA from 1 species
UACAGAGGUCUCAAGCGUUGUUCGGAUUCAUUGGGCGUAAAGGGUGCGUAGGCGGCGCGGUAAGUCGGGGUGUGAAAUCUCGGAGCUUAACUCCGAAACUGCAUUCGAUACUGCCGUGCUUGAGGACUGGAGAGGAGACUGGAAUUUACGGUGUAGCGGUGAAAUGCGUAGAUAUCGUAAGGAAGACCAGUGGCGAAGGCGGGUCUCUGGACAGUUCCUGACGCUGAGGCACGAAGGCCCAGGGGAGCAAACGGG